rnacentral:snRNA from 1 species
GUAGUGACUUUAAUGUAGCAUUCCUCCUAAGUGUAGUGACCUUCACUACACUUAGGAGGGAUCUACAUUAAAGUCUACCUAUGUGGUUGAAUUUACGUCAUAAUUUGUGGUAGUAGGGGCUUGCGUUUGCGUAGCCCUUUC